AUAUGGUGCUACAUACUUCUAAGAACUGCCUCUUAAAUGGUUUCCUGAGGAGUGGAUGGAGGGACCAUUGCAGAUUAUGAAGCCUCACAGUUUUCCCUUUUACCUAGGAGGCCCUUUUGAAGUUUAAGGAUGCUCCAUUUAACCCUGCUGAAACCCUAAGCAGAUCUUUGAAACUCUUUAUGCCACCCUUUGACAGGUGGUAUAAAAAAAUGCAAGAGUCAAGCCUUCAAUCCUCUUUCCAGAUCAGUGGAGACUCUAGUAUGGCAGCAGCUACUAUUUGCUAAUACUACAUUGAAGAGGAGUACAUAAAUGCCUCAACAUAACUAAGAAUCUGCUCCGUUGGCCCACCGCAGGAUUGUAAUAAAAGGUUCAUUCUGAAAUGAAUUUGCAUAUCUAAGGGCAGUUUUCCUAAGUACAUACAACUAGAAAUAAGAACCAUUCAUAAUUUUUCUCUGGCCCAUUUCUCUACCCUUUCCCUGCAUAUGU